CGUUUUUCGGCGUUGUUUUGGAUGGGGUCUAGCGAAACAAACCAAAAUGAGUUAAAAUUAUCAAGAAUUCUCCGCGCGUUUUUCUGAAUUUCCAGGUUGUCAUAGUCGAGGGAUCCCUUGGACAAAUGAGGUAUGACCUCAUGCUAUCAGAAUGUUGGCGCGGGUCAUGGCAACUGCUGGUAGGAAAGCUCACAUUCCCCAUCCUCCAAGGUCAAAAUCCACUAGUUCUAAACCCAGCCAGCCACAAGUACGCACACUAAAGACUACAUCUUCACCUGCUCCUAUCCCUAAGGUGAAGUCUGAUGUUGGACUGGCUAAUGGAGUCAGAAAUCUUUCAAUACAGGAGAGGAAGAAGAAUCUGCCACCCAGGCCAACAAAAACUGCUGUUGCUGGUUCUGUGCGUAGGACUGGCUCAGUAACAACCUCCAGUGCCAUCUGUAAUAACUUGGAGGAUGUGUCCAGAUACAUCAGGGAAGGCAGGGCUAAGAACAUUGUGGUGAUGGCAGGGGCUGGGAUCAGCACACCUAGUGGGAUACCCGACUUCAGGUCCCCAGGAACAGGCCUAUAUGACAACUUACAACAGUAUAACAUCCCAUAUCCAGAGGCGAUAUUUGAUAUUGAUUACUUCCAUAUGAAUCCACGUCCAUUUUUUGCCUUAUCCAAAGAACUCUACCCAAGUGGAAAGUACAGACCUAACUACAUCCAUUAUUUUAUGCGCUUGCUGCAUGAUAAAGGACUACUGCACAGAAUGUAUACUCAGAAUAUUGAUGGACUAGAAAGAUUGGCUGGUAUUCCUAGUGAGAAGCUAGUGGAGGCUCACGGUACAUUUAGCACUGCCACCUGUAUUAGAUGUAAUCUUGAGCACCGAGGAGAUGAGAUUAAGGAUGCUAUAUUCUCUGAUAAGCUUCCAAAGUGCAAAAAGACAAACUGUCUGGGAAUUGUUAAACCUGAUAUUGUGUUCUUUGGAGAAGAACUUCCCAGGAGGUUUUAUUAUUACCUGAAAGAUUUUCCCCAGGCAGAUCUUGUAUUGGUGCUGGGGACAUCUCUAGAGGUGGAGCCAUUUGCUAGUAUAGUGGAUGCCAGCAGGUCCUAUAUCCCCAGAGUGCUGUUCAACAGGGAGGCUGUGGGGCCUUUUAAGAGGAAGAGAAGGAACAAUGAUGUUGUUUCAGAAGGGGAUCUAAUAGCUAAUGUGCAGAAGUUUGUUAGAAUACUGGAAUGGCAAAAAGAUAUGGAAUAUCUGAUGAAAGAGAAUGAGAAACUCCUAGAUGAGCAAGUGUCAGCAGGCACACUAAGUAGCAGUGGAUCUACACCCAGUGGUGGCAAUAAAGGAGAUGGUAAAGAUGGCAGCGCCUGUCAGAAUGGUAAUAGUGGUAAUCUGACUGGAAUCACAAGGCCAACCAACAGAAAUAUGCACACAUUUUCACGCAAUGGACCCAGUUAUGGUUUUAUCAACAGGAAGGGUGCCUCCAGCACACAUUCACUGCCACCUAUUAGCAAAAUGCAGAACUACAGAUCCCCCAGGACUAUUAGUUCAUCCAGCAGCAGUGAAGAAGAAAGUGAAAGUGACACUAGUUCAGAUGAUUCUGAUGCAUAAGAACACCUUGACUGAUAUAAGUUAAGUGGGUGAAGUUAACAAAAAAGACAUUUAGACAUUUAAAGACAUUUUGGCAUUAAACUUCAGUGUAGGUCAACCCUGUUUCAUCAGUGAGAAGACAGACCCGAUGCUUGUAGAGUUAUUCAAACAUAAACAUGUCUUAGUACAGGUGAAAAUCAUCUUAUAUAAAGGAAUUGUCACUAAGAAACUGUUCAGCUGAUGAAUUACAAUACCUGCACUGUCAUGUGAUUUUUAUUCUGAAUGAUAGAGGAGGUAAGAAGAAUAUAUUGACUUGGUGCAUCAUUGUAAUGCUAAUGUUAUAUAUACCGGUGACAGUGUUCUUAAUUCACAGGUCGGUUUUUUUUUUUUUUAUUGAAGAAAUCUUUUUUGGGCUUCAGCCUGAGUUUCAGAGUCUGUUGGAAACAUAUCUCCCUAACAAUACUAGUAUACUUAGAAAAGGAAAGUAAUUUCUGUAUACUGAAAUGCAGGGCUGUCAAUAUAGAUGAAGAGUAAAAUUUUAGGAAGUCUUUUUCUGAUAGGGACAGUAAAGACAUAUCAGAUACAAGUAUGAUAAAAAUAUUUGAAAGAGACCAACAAUGUUGUACACAAAGGGUUCAUGUAUUUUCAGAGAAGCAGUGUUGAACAUCAUUAAUCACUGUAACAGUUUGUAUGUUAAGUUAAUUCACUAUAUUGUGGCACUUUCUUUCAAAUGAUGCCAUUAUAUAGUAUAAUUUUCACUACGAUACAGGGAGAGUUGUUUGCCACAUUUUUUUUGUGUGUGUGUGUUUUUAGUACUGUACUUUGUUCCAUAUGUAACCCUUGGAACUGUCUGUUCAUUGGCCUAGUGGUGUAUUUCCCAUUUUAAAACUUCUCAUUAAAAAUACAACCUCCAUUCAAGAGAAAUCAGGUCACUGGUUGUCUGUAUGAAUCAUUAAUAAUUAAGUGUAUGCAGGUAAACAAUUUCAGAGCUGCGGGCACAAGAAAGAGCUAUUAAAAACGUUUUUGCAUAUAGAAUUUAUUUGUUGCAAAUGGAAGUUUGUUUUAACUGACUGGUUGCUUUCAGACUGCUGUAUCCACUACGUUAGGCAAACUUAAAGGUCAAGGCCAUUAAAACAGCUGAACACAGUAUAGUAGGACCUACUCAAAAGGAGAUUAUACUUAGAAGAACAUUCGUCAUCUGAAUAUCAUCACGAAACAAGAGAAUAGACCGAGUUUUUCAGAUAACCUUUCGUCCGGGACGCCUGUGAAUGCGACAUCCUGUAAAAUACAUCAUUGGCACUUUAAAACAAUCCGUGUUUUGUUGUUGCUGAAAAACUCCGAAAACUGUGCGAGACGGGUAUCCUUCUCCUUUACAAAUAACGCAGCGGAUAAAAGGGAAAGGAAACGUGAUUGAAUCUACGCUUGGAUAACAAUGUUAUCAAGAUAUUUCCAUUGUAAUGUCAGGAGAUUUAUAAAUCAUUAAACCUGAAAGGAUCCAGAAGCACCGUCAUCUUAUACAUUCGUAAAAGUGCCAAUGGAUAAAGUUUUUGUGAGCAAAGUUUUCACUGCUGUGGGGUGCUGUAUCGCUUUGCUAGGACUUUUUAUAUGUCUAGGAUUAUACUGUGUAUACCGAAUGCGAAAAGCCUAUGCGAAAAAGAGACAAUCUUGCUCAGGAUGUAGAGGACAGAAUGACUGCGUAACUCCACAGAACACCAACGUUGCCGUCAUCACGACAAAUUGCGAUAGGUGUGAAAGUGGUUGUCAGUGUGGUUGUACUUGUGAUCAACAAUCGCAUUUCCACACCCCGCCACCUCCUCCGUAUUGGGAAAUAACGCGGGAAGCGUCGAUCCAGGAGGACCCGGACCCAGCUUCGAACCAGUAUCCCCCUACAUACGACGCCAUGUUUGGUGAAAACGUCACUGAAAAUCACGAAACGCCAAUUUUGUUACACCCGUCUUUAAACGAGGGUUUGCACCCGCCUGCUCAAAAUGAAAUUGUAACGACUCACGUGAAUACUGCUUUUGAUGGUGCGAUAUUGUAAAGAUGAUCUUUGGAGAAGAAUUCCUCUUGUGUAGGCACUGCAGUGUUUUCUGAUCAGCCAAAACAAUUACUGAAACUUCUGUGAUUAAUAACAGCGUGAAGAUAAACUUCAUCACUUUCAUUCCAUUUUAAUGCUCGAUAAAUGUGACUAACGUGUAGAUUUAAUGCAUGUUAUUCAAAAUUCUAUUAAACGAUGUCAUAAUCCGUCUGAUUUUGUUACAGUGGACAGAAGAAGACUUUUUCCAUCGAAUUCCAAAGAUACAAAAUUUACCUAAUGAGACAAACAUUAAAAAAAUAGGCGAAGCUUGCCUUAUACGAUUUUGAAUGUGGAUUUAGAAACAUUGUUUUUAAAUUUACCUUUUUACCAGGUUUUAUUGCAGGGAUCAGCAAUAAAGAUGUUAUGUAUUUGAAAAUUUAUACAAUAAUCCA